rnacentral:rRNA from 1 species
UUUCGGAUCGUAAAGUACUGUUGUUAGAGAAGAACAAGGAUAAGAGUAACUGCUUGUCCCUUGACGGUAUCUAACCAGAAAGCCACGGCUAACUACGUGCCAGCAGCCGCGGUAAUACGUAGGUGGCAAGCGUUGUCCGGAUUUAUUGGGCGUAAAGCGCGCGCAGGCGGUCUUUUAAGUCUGAUGUGAAAGCCCCCGGCUUAACCGGGGAGGGUCAUUGGAAACUGGAAGACUGGAGUGCAGAAGAGGAGAGUG